UUGUGCUCCUCUUAGCUUCCUCACUAAAUUGUGAGCUGCUAGAGGGCUUGAAC
rnacentral:miRNA from 1 species